rnacentral:sRNA from 1 species
CUUGCGGUGGCGAUGGCUGCGGCCGUGGCGGGGAUGCUGCGAGGGGGUCUCCUGCCCCAGGCGGGCCGGCUGCCUACCCUCCAGACUGUCCGCUAUGGCUCCAAGGCUGUUACCCGCCACCGUCGUGUGAUGCACUUUCAGCGGCAGAAGCUGAUGGCUGUGACUGAAUAUAUCCCCCCAAAACCAGCCAUCCACCCAUCAUGCCUGCCAUCUCCUCCCAGCCCCCCACAGGAGGAGACAGGCCUCAUCAGGCUUCUCCGCCGGGAGAUAGCAGCAGUUUUCCAGGACAACCGAAUGGUAGCCGUCUGCCAGAAUGUGGCUCUCAGUGCAGAGGACAAGCUUCUUAUGCGACACCAGCUGCGGAAACACAAGAUCCUGAUGAAGGUCUUCCCCAACCAGGUAGGGAGCAGGCCCCUUGGCAUGGGUUGCCCAUCUUCCCCCCACCCCCACCAGACUCAUACCUCACCAUCUGCUCCCCAGUGAUGAUACUUCUUACUCCUCCUCUCCAUGAGUCACCCUCUAAUCUGGUGUCUAACCUAUGAUU